rnacentral:rRNA from 1 species
UGGCGGCGUGCCUAAUACAUGCAAGUCGAGCGAAUGGAUUGAGAGCUUGCUCUCAAGAAGUUAGCGGCGGACGGGUGAGUAACACGUGGGUAACCUGCCCAUAAGACUGGGAUAACUCCGGGAAACCGGGGCUAAUACCGGAUAACAUUUUGAACUGCAUGGUUCGAAAUUGAAAGGCGGCUUCGGCUGUCACUUAUGGAUGGACCCGCGUCGCAUUAGCUAGUUGGUGAGGUAACGGCUCACCAAGGCAACGAUGCGUAGCCGACCUGAGAGGGUGAUCGGCCACACUGGGACUGAGACACGGCCCAGACUCCUACGGGAGGCAGCAGUAGGGAAUCUUCCGCAAUGGACGAAAGUCUGACGGAGCAACGCCGCGUGAGUGAUGAAGGCUUUCGGGUCGUAAAACUCUGUUGUUAGGGAAGAACAAGUGCUAGUUGAAUAAGCUGGCACCUUGACGGUACCUAACCAGAAAGCCACGGCUAACUACGUGCCAGCAGCCG